rnacentral:rRNA from 1 species
UUUUAUGAGAGUUUGAUCCUGGCUCAGGACGAACGCUGGCGGCGUGCCUAAUACAUGCAAGUCGAACGCUUCUUUUUCCACCGGAGCUUGCUCCAUCGGAAAAAGAGGAGUGGCGAACGGGUGAGUAACACGUGGGUAACCUGCCCAUCAGAAGGGGAUAACACUUGGAAACAGGUGCUAA